rnacentral:rRNA from 1 species
GACGAACGCUGGCGGCGUGCUUAACACAUGCAAGUCGAACGGAAAGGCCCUGCUUUUGUGGGGUGCUCGAGUGGCGAACGGGUGAGUAACACGUGAGUAACCUGCCCUUGACUUUGGGAUAACUUCAGGAAACUGGGGCUAAUACCGGAUAGGAGCUCCUGCUGCAUGGUGGGGGUUGGAAAGUUUCGGCGGUUGGGGAUGGACUCGCGGGUUAUCAGCUUGUUGGUGGGGUAGUGGCUUACCAAGGCUUUGACGGGUAGCCGGCCUGGGAGGGUGACCGGCCACAAUGGGACUGAGAUACGGCCCAGACUCCUACUGGAGGCAGCAGUGGGGAAUAUUGCACAAUGGGCGGAAGCCUGAUGCAGCAACGCCGCGUGCGGGAUGACGGCCUUCGGGUUGUAAACCGCUUUCGCCUGUGACGAAGCGUGAGUGACGGUAAUGGGUAAAGAAGCACCGGCUAACUACGUG